AACGAACGCUGGCGGCAGGCUUAACACAUGCAAGUCGAGCGCCUCGCAAGAGGAGCGGCAGACGGGUGAGUAACGCGUGGGAAUCUACCUAGUUCUACGGAACAACACAGGGAAACUUGUGCUAAUACCGUAUACGCCCUACGGGGAAAGAUUUAUCGGAAUUAGAUGAGCCCGCGUAAGAUUAGCUAGUUGGUGGGGUA
rnacentral:rRNA from 1 species